rnacentral:rRNA from 1 species
UACGGAGGGGGCAAGCGUUAUUCGGAAUCAUUGGGCGUAAAGGGCGCGUAGGCGGCUUCAUAAGUCUUGGGUGAAAGCCCUCGGCUCAACCGAGGAAUUGCCUUGGAUACUGUGAAGCUCGAGGCUGGAAGAGGGCAGUGGAAUUCCUGGUGUAGCGGUGAAAUGCGUAGAUAUCGGGAGGAACACCAGUGGCGAAGGCGGCUGCCUGGGCCAGUUCUGACGCUGAGGCGCGGAAGCGUGGGGAGCAAACAGG